AUUGAACGCUGGCGGCAGGCCUAACACAUGCAAGUCGAGCGGAUGAAGGGAGCUUGCUCCUGGAUUCAGCGGCGGACGGGUGAGUAAUGCCUAGGAAUCUGCCUGGUAGUGGGGGAUAACGUCCGGAAACGGGCGCUAAUACCGCGUACGUCCUGAGGGAGAAAGUGGGGGAUCUUCGGACCUCACGCUAUCAGAUGAGCCUAGGUCGGAUUAGCUAGUUGGUGGGGUAAAGGCCUACCAAGGCGACGAUCCGUAACUGGUCUGAGAGGAUGAUCAGUCACACUGGAACUGAGACACGGUCCAGACUCCUACGGGAGGCAGCAGUGGGGAAUAUUGGACAAUGGGCGAAAGCCUGAUCCAGCCAUGCCGCGUGUGUGAAGAAGGUCUUCGGAUUGUAAAGCACCUUAAGUUGGGAGGAAGGGCAGUAAGUUAAUACCUUGCUGUUUUGACGUUACCAACAGAAUAAGCACCGGCUAACUUCGUG
rnacentral:rRNA from 1 species